UACGUAGGGGGCGAGCGUUGUCCGGAAUUAUUGGGCGUAAAGAGCGCGUAGGCGGUGUGUCACGUCGGCCGUGAAAACCUGCAGCUUAACUGUGGGCGUGCGGUCGAUACGGGCAUCACUGGAGUUCGGCAGGGGAGACUGGAAUUCCUGGUGUAGCGGUGAAAUGCGCAGAUAUCAGGAGGAACACCGGUGGCGAAGGCGGGUCUCUGGGCCGAUACUGACGCUGAGGAGCGAAAGCGUGGGGAGCAAACAGG
rnacentral:rRNA from 1 species